CGGCCCCGGGCCGGGGGGCACCGGGACAUCCCGAGUUGCCGCCGGCCCCGCGCCCACGCGUGCACCCGCGCCCACGCGCGCCCUCGUCGCCGCGUCUUCUCCUCCAGCCGGGAGCCCGAGCCGGGCACAGCGCUGGGGAUUAACUCCGCCGAAGCACGGGGCCGCGCGGGACGGGGGCACCCACGCAGAGCGCGCAGGGAGCUCCGCAGGGAGCACGGCAUUAAGCCAGGCGGAGCAUCGCAGAGCCGCUCCCUCGCAGAAGUCCCCAAGGUAAAAGCCGACGCUUGGUGCCUUCCGGACAGCACGGGGCUCUGGGUUCCUGUUUUUAAUUUUUUUUUUUUCCGGGAUUUUGUUUUUGAAGGCAUCGAUCGGGAGACGUGGGCAGAAAUUGCUGCUGCUGCUGCUGCUGGGGCCGGGAGCUGUGCACCUCCAGAGUGCACGGGGAGCAGCUGAACUUUGGCACUGAGGAAGAUCCAUUUCUCCUCCGUAAACACUUUGGGGACGGUCACAGCGUGUCACUGCGCACCCAGCGCUGCAGCACCCGGAGCCGGAGCAACACUGGGGGGUUCCUCUCUCGCCAAGGACAGUCACCUGUGUAAGGAGCUGGGGAAGGGCAAUUCGUCUUUCUUUUCCAGAUGACUGAAAAUACCGAGAGGAUCGUGGCUCUCUGCUUUUCAUCGGCAAGUGGCACCGGGGAGAGGUGGCUGAGAGAUGGAAAUGAUGUUGCUUCAAUUCAUCCCAGCAUCUACUUUUUCCCGAGGGACUCCAUGCCCAUAGGGGUUUGCUGCAUGCAUGUCCAGCAGUGAGGACCGCGGUACCACAGAUGGAACCCAACUGGAUCAUGUAAGAAUUUGAUACUGAGAAACCCACCCCAGCAAGACUUUCUCUGCCUGAAGUAUAUGGUUCGGUGUAAGCACAGCAGUUUUUGCCUAUUUCUCUCCCUUUUACAUCUCUUGGGCUUGGAGAUCUCUGUCCCCAUUGCAACUAUGCUCAUUUGCAACAUCAGUGCCAUCAAAGAUUGGAGCACUUUCCUCUCCCAGAUCCUCCCCAGCGUGAACAAAACCCUGAACUUGGUGCAGCAAGUGGAGGCCACCACCAGCUCAGUGGUGAACGUCCUGCAGGACCCUGAGCAGGACAGCUACCUGGCCAACAGCCAGCCCAUGAACUCCAGCAACUUCACAGCCGGCCUAGACCACUUGUUUCAGUACUCUUACUCUGACAAUGACCAGCUGUACAAGGAGUACAAACCCCCUCCUCGCGACGCCAUCCCUCUGCCCAAGGCUGUCCUGUACCUCCUCAUGGCAGCCCUGGUGGUGGUGGCGGUGGCGUACGCCAUCGUUGGGCACCUCAUCAAGGACCUCAUUCAUGACUUUAUAGAUUGGAUCUUCGGCCCCAACCCAGAUGACAACAGCAACAAAAGCGACGUCAACUGCAUCACCAACAGCGUCAACGAGAUGAGCGAGAUGCCCGAGGUGCCGCGCCACCGCGACCGCCAGCCCCAGGACGUGGUCAUCGCCAUCGGCGAGACCUGCCACCUGCCGCAGCAGACGUGA
ensembl:lncRNA uncharacterized LOC110402825